rnacentral:rRNA from 1 species
GAUGAACGCUGGCGGCGUGCUUAACACAUGCAAGUCGAACGAAGCACUUUAUUUGAUUUCCUUCGGGACUGAUUAUUUUGUGACUGAGUGGCGGACGGGUGAGUAACGCGUGGGUAACCUGCCUUGUACAGGGGGAUAACAGUUGGAAACGGCUGCUAAUACCGCAUAAGCGCACGGCAUCGCAUGAUGCAGUGUGAAAAACUCCGGUGGUAUAAGAUGGACCCGCGUUGGAUUAGCUAGUUGGUGAGGUAACGGCCCACCAAGGCGACGAUCCAUAGCCGACCUGGGAGGGUGACCGGCCACAUUGGGACUGAGACACGGCCCAAACUCCUACGGGAGGCAGCAGUGGGGAAUAUUGCACAAUGGGCGAAAGCCUGAUGCAGCGACGCCGCGUGAGCGAAGAAGUAUUUCGGUAUGUAAAGCUCUAUCAGCAGGGAAGAUAAUGACGGUACCUGACUAAGAAGCACCGGCUAAAUACGUG